GUCAGCAUGUCUGUGUCAAUAUGUUUGUAUGUCAGCAUGUCUGUGUGUCAGUAUGUCUGUGUGUGUGUGCGCAUUUCAGUGUGUAUAUAUCUCUGUGUGUGUGUGUGUAUAUGUGCAUACAUCUCAGCAUUCACACACUAACACUACACACAAAUACACCCCUGCAUUCAAAUUUCAACACUACGUACAAACACAUGUCUGUGUUACAC